UACGUAGGGGGCAAGCGUUGUCCGGAUUUAUUGGGCGUAAAGAGCGUGUAGGCGGCUAGGUAGGUCCGUUGUGAAAACUCGAGGCUCAACCUCGAGACGCCGGUGGAAACCAUCUAGCUAGAGUCCGGAAGAGGAGAGUGGAAUUCCUGGUGUAGCGGUGAAAUGCGCAGAUAUCAGGAAGAACACCCGUGGCGAAGGCGGCGCUCUGGGACGUGACUGACGCUGAGACGCGAAAGCGUGGGGAGCGAACAGG
rnacentral:rRNA from 1 species